rnacentral:rRNA from 1 species
GUCUACGGCCAUACCACCCUGAACGCGCCCGAUCUCGUCUGAUCUCGGAAGCUAAGCAGGGUCGGGCCUGGUUAGUACUUGGAUGGACUAUAUCUAAAUUUUCAUGAGUGUCAUAAAAG